CACAGGAACCACCAAAUCCACAGCCUGUAUGAAAGCUGCUUCUUCCAGCCUCAACAGUGUCAAAAGACUGGACACCAGCUGGAUUUGAGGUCCCAGCAGCGUUUGGGGACCUCCUCCAGCCCACUGGCAUCAACACUAUUAUUGUUUUCAUUUUACCAUAAUGGAAAUGGAAGUGUAGAAAAACCAAGAAAAUUAUGUCCCUAAUUCUCCAUGAUAACCUCUCUCAUUUUUUGUUAUUCAAUUAUUCAACAAAUAUUGAUUGAGCAUUUA
rnacentral:lncRNA from 1 species